ACUACUUAAAGCGUGCUCCUGUGGGAGCAGCAGGGACAGCCCCUGGGAAUGUGUUGGAAAUGCAGAAUCCAGGGCCCCCCACAGACCUGAACCAGAAUCUGCAUUUUAACAAGAUCCCCAGGGAAUUGCUCUGUAUGCCCUUCGGAGUCACCACAGCUCUGGAGCCCACAGAAGCUGAGAGGGAAAGUGCCCUGGAUUCCUUCACCCUGUGCUUGAAGACACGGCCUGUCUGGCAACAAUAUAGAGUAAAAUAAAUUAAACAUGGAGAAACCCAGAAGAAAAAAAGAAAGCAGAGAAAGCAACAGCAGAGAGGAGAUCUCAGCAAACUUUGGAAGUUGACAGGAAAAUCAGUGGAUGGCCAGAAACCAAAACUUUACACUGACGGGAAGAUCAGAAGAAAGGAACAGAUUUAAACUACUCAACUCUGGGACAGCUCAGAAGUGAGAGGUACUGGGUAAGCACUUCAGAAGCAUAGGUGCAGGGUGGAAGUAAAAGCAAGAGGAAAGUUGAUGGUGCUUGUAAGAAACAGUCAAACCACCAUGCUGCACUCCUCCCCUGGCCCCCCAAACAACCAGGAAUUACCCUGCCCCUCCACAAGUGAAAGCCAGGGUUGAACUAUUAUGGACUCUAAUCUUUGAGCUACUCGCUCUGAUUUAGGGCAAGAUAACAUUCUGUACUAAAAACUCAAGUGGAAACCUACACACUGAACUUCAGAUUUCCAGCCACAAUUCUCUCCCACUCCCACCAUGCCAUGUAUCUGCUCAGAUCCCGUUACACUGGCAGCCAGGCAUAUACUCCCAGGCAGGAGCUAAGACAAUGCAUCAUUACUGGCAAAGUAACCAGCCCCCUCCUCCCCGAUUCUGUAGAUACUGGUAUUUGGAGUUCUCCUGCGAAAAGGCCAGGGACAUCUAGCACCACCCAGCGAGACCUACUCAUUGACAGGUUCCACCCAGGUAGGCAGAAUUUCCAAUGAGCUUUUAGUGCUUGGAACUUAAAUAUGAAUAAACAAAAUCAUCAGAAAUUUGAGGGAAGCUUUUUAGCAUGGAAAACAAAAAGGGAAACAGAAAAAAGAAACUCAGAGGAAACAGAUAAUUCAAGGAAGAAGAAAACUUCAAAAUUAAGGUAUCAUAUCCAUGAAGAAAAACCAGA